rnacentral:rRNA from 1 species
UACGGAGGGUGCAAGCGUUGCUCGGAAUAACUGGGCGUAAAGCGUCCGCAGGCGGCCUAUCAGGUCGGGUGUGAAAGCCCAGGGCUCAACCCUGGAACUGCAUUCGAAACCGGUAAGCUUGAGUAUGGGAGAGGAGGGCGGAAUUCCUGGUGUAGAGGUGAAAUUCGUAGAUAUCAGGAGGAACGCUCGCGGCGAAGGCGGCUCUCUGGCCCAAUACUGACGCUCAUGGACGAAAGCGUGGGGAGCAAAC